UACGGAGGGUGCAAGCGUUGUCCGGAAUCACUGGGCGUAAAGGGCGCGUAGGCGGCUCAUGAAGGCUGUGGUGAAAGUCCGGGGCUCAACCUCGGAUCGGCCGUGGCGACUCGUGGGCUGGAGCACUGUAGAGGCGGGUGGAAUUCCGGGUGUGAGCGGUGGAAUGCGUAGAGAUCCGGAAGAACACCAGUGGCGAAGGCGGCCCGCUGGGCAGUGGCUGACGCUGAGGCGCGACAGCGUGGGGAGCAAACAGG
rnacentral:rRNA from 1 species